CAGGUGCAGAGGCUCACACCCGUAAUCCCAGCACUUUGGGAGGCCGAAGCAGGUGGCUCGCUUGAGGUCAGGAGUCCAAGACCAGCCUGGGCAACAUGGCGAAACCCUGUUUCUGCUAAAACUACAAAAAUUAGCCGGGAACUUUCUCUUCUAUUCUCAGAGUCUACAGAAUGCAUUAUUAAAAAGGCAGGAAGAAAACUGGGCUUUAUCAAGAAAGUCGCAUGCGCUUGACUGAGGGACUUUCCCUUUCGUCCGGCGAAGGUCUGGUGAGUCCAAUGGGGGAGUGGAAUUCGUUCCGGUGAUCCUCUCGGUCGCUCCCAUCGUACGAACUGCUACAGCUGCUCAAGCUGUCAACAGGAGAUCUCCCCGCCUCGUGGCGCGUGUGUUGUGGGUAUCUCGAAGGGGUGGUGGUACGGUCUCU